rnacentral:rRNA from 1 species
AUUGAACGCUGGCGGCAGGCCUAACACAUGCAAGUCGAACGAGUGGCGGACGGGUGAGUAAUGUCUGGGAAACUGCCUGAUGGAGGGGGAUAACUACUGGAAACGGUAGCUAAUACCGCAUACCAUCGGAUGUGCCCAGAUGGGAUUAGCUUGUAGGUGGGGUAACGGCUCACCUAGGCGACGAUCCCUAGCUGGUCUGAGAGGAUGACCAGCCACACUGGAACUGGGACACGGUCCAGACCCCGACGGGAGGCAGCAGUGGGGAAUAUUGCACAAUGGGCGCAAGCCUGAUGCAGCCAUGCCGCGUGUAUGAAGAAGGCCUUCGGGUGGAAAAGUACUUUCAGCGGUGAGGCGUUACCCGCAGAAGAAGCACCGGCUAACUCCGUGCCAGCAGCCGCGGUAUAC